UACAGGGGGUGCAAACGUUGCUCGGAAUUAUUUGGGCGUAAAGCGCGCGUAGGCGGCCUUUUAAGUCGGAUGUGAAAGCCCUCGGCUCAACUGGGGAAGUGCACCCGAAACUGAAAGGCUUGAGUACUGAAGAGGGUCGCGGAAUUCCCAGUGUAGAGGUGAAAUUCGUAGAUAUCAGGAGGAACACCAGUGGCGAAGGCGGCUUUCU
rnacentral:rRNA from 1 species